ACGCCGCGUGAGUGAUGAAGGUUUUCGGAUCGUAAACUCUGUUGUUAGGNNNNNNNAAGUACCGUUCGAAUAGGGCGGUACCUUGACGGUACCUAACCAGAAAGCCACGGCUAACUACGUGCCAGCAGCCGCGGUAAUACGUAGGUGGCAAGCGUUGUCCGGAAUUAUUGGGCGUAAAGCGCGCGCAGGCGGUUUCUUAAGUCUGAUGUGAAAGCCCCCGGCUCAACCGGGGAGGGUCAUUGGAAACUGGGGAACUUGAGUGCAGAAGAGGAGAGUGGAAUUCCACGUGUAGCGGUGAAAUGCGUAGAGAUGUGGAGGAACACCAGUGGCGAAGGCGACUCUCUGGUCUGUAACUGACGCUGAGGCGCGAAAGCGUGGGGAGCGAACAGGAUUAGAUACCCUGGUAGUCCACGCCGUAAACGAUGAGUGCUAAGUGUUAGAGGGUUUCCGCCCUUUAGUGCUGCAGCAAACGCAUUAAGCACUCCGCCUGGGGAGUACGGUCGCAAGACUGAAACUCAAAGGAAUUGACGGGGGCCCGCACAAGCGGUGGAGCAUGUGGUUUAAUUCGAAGCAACGCGAAGAACCUUACCAGGUCUUGACAUCCCUCUGACAACCCUAGAGAUAGGGCUUCCCCUUCGGGGGCAGAGUGACAGGUGGUGCAUGGUUGUCGUCAGCUCGUGUCGUGAGAUGUUGGGUUAAGUCCCGCAACGAGCGCAACCCUUGAUCUUAGUUGCCAGCAUUCA
rnacentral:rRNA from 1 species